rnacentral:rRNA from 1 species
AUUGAACGCUGGCGGCAGGCCUAACACAUGCAAGUCGAGCGAGCGGCGGACGGGUGAGUAAUGUAUGGGAAUCUGCCUGAUGGAGGGGGAUAACUACUGGAAACGGUAGCUAAUACCGCAUACACUCAGAUGACCCCAUAUGGGAUUAGCUAGUAGGUUAGGUAACGGCUCACCUAGGCGACGAUCCAUAGCGGGUCUGAGAGGAUGAUCAGACAGACUGGAACUGAGAAACGGUCCAGACUCCGAAGGGAGGCAGCAGUGGGGAAUAUGGCACAAUGGGCGAAAGCCUGAUGCAGCCAUGCCGGGUGUAUGAAGAAGGCCGUCGGGUUGUAAAGUACUUUCAGUUGGGAGGCGUUACCGACAGAAGAAGCACCGGCUAACUCCGUGCCAGCAGCCGCGGUAAUAC